GAUGAACGCUGGCGGCGCGCCUAAUACAUGCAAGUCGAGCGAAUGGAUUAAGAGCUUGCUCUUAUGAAGUUAGCGGCGGACGGGUGAGUAACACGUGGGUAACCCGCCCAUAAGACUGGGAUAACUCCGGGAAACCGGGGCUAAUACCGGAUAACAUUUUGAACCGCAUGGUUCGAAAUUGAAAGGCGGCUUCGGCUGUCACUUAUGGAUGGACCCGCGUCGCAUUAGCUAGUUGGUGAGGUAACGGCUCACCAAGGCAACGAUGCGUAGCCGACCUGAGAUGGGGAUGGGCCACACUGGGACUGAGACACGGCCCAGACUCCUACGGGAGGCAGCAGUAGGGAAUCUUCCGCAAUGGACGAAAGUCUGACGGAGCAACGCCGCGUGAGUGAUGAAGGCUUUCGGGUCGUAAAACUCUGUUGUUAGGGAAGAACAAGUGCUAGUUGAAUACGCUGGCACCUUGACGGUACCUAACCAGAAAGCCACGGCUAACUACGUGACAGCCGCCGCCGUAA
rnacentral:rRNA from 1 species